rnacentral:rRNA from 1 species
AUUGAACGCUGGCGGCAGGCCUAACACAUGCAAGUCGAGCGGAUGAAGGGAGCUUGCUCCUGGAUUCAGCGGCGGACGGGUGAGUAAUGCCUAGGAAUCUGCCUGGCAGUGGGGGAUAACGUCCGGAAACGGGCGCUAAUACCGCCUACGUCCUGAGGGAGCAAGUGGGGGAUCUUCGGACCUCACGCUAUCAGAUGAGCCUAGGUCGGAUUAGCUAGUUGGUGGGGUAAAGGCCUACCAAGGCGACGAUCCGUAACUGGUCUGAGAGGAUGAUCGGUCACACGGGAACUGAGACACGGUCCAGACUCCUACGGGACGCAGCAGUGGGGAAUAGUAGACAAUGGGCGAAAGCCUGAUCCAGCCAUGCCGCGUGUGUGAAGAAGGUCUUCGGAUUGUAAAGCACUUUAAGUUGGGAGGAAGGGCAGUAAGUUAAUACCUUGCUGUUUUGACGUUACCAACAGAAUAAGCACCGGCUAACUUCGUG